rnacentral:tRNA from 2 species
CGCGAGAUGGAGCAGUUGGUAGCUCGUCGGGCUCAUAACCCGAAGGUCGUUGGUUCGAGUCCAGCUCUCGCUA